UACAGGGGGGGCAAGCGUUGUUCGGAAUUACUGGGCGUAAAGGGCUCGUAGGCGGCCAACUAAGUCAGACGUGAAAUCCCUCGGCUUAACCGGGGAACUGCGUCUGAUACUGGAUGGCUUGAGGUUGGGAGAGGGAUGCGGAAUUCCAGGUGUAGCGGUGAAAUGCGUAGAUAUCUGGAGGAACACCGGUGGCGAAGGCGGCAUCCUGGACCAAUUCUGACGCUGAGGAGCGAAAGCCAGGGGAGCAAACGGG
rnacentral:rRNA from 1 species